rnacentral:rRNA from 1 species
GUGCCAGCCGCCGCGGUAAUACCGGCAGCUCAAGUGAUGUCCCAUAUUAUUGGGCCUAAAGCGUCCGUAGCUGGCCAUGCAAGUUCGUCGGGAAAUCCACCUGCCCAACAGGUGGGCGUCCGGCGAAAACUGCGUGGCUUGGAACCGGAAGGCUCAGAGAGUACGUCCGGGGUAGGAGUGAAAUCCCGUAAUCCCGGACGGACUACCGAUGGCGAAAGCACUCUGAGAAGACGGAUUCGACAGUGAGGGACGAAAGCUAGGGUCUCGAACCGGAUUAGAAACCCUAGUAGUCC